rnacentral:tRNA from 1 species
AAGCUUGUAGCUCAGGUGGUUAGAGCGCACCCCUGAUAAGGGAGGUGAGGUCGGUGGUUCCAAGUCCACUCCAGGCCUACCA